UAGGGAAUCUUCCGCAAUGGGCGAAAGCCUGACGGAGCAACGCCGCGUGAGUGAUGAAGGUCUUCGGAUCGUAAAACUCUGUUAUUAGGGAAGAACAUAUGUGUAAGUAACUGUGCACAUCUUGACGGUACCUAAUCAGAAAGCCACGGCUAACUACGUGCCAGCAGCCGCGGUAAUACGUAGGUGGCAAGCGUUAUCCGGAAUUAUUGGGCGUAAAGCGCGCGUAGGCGGUUUUUUAAGUCUGAUGCGAAAGCCCACGGCUCAACCGUGGAGGGUCAUUGGAAACUGGAAAACUUGAGUGCAGAAGAGGAAAGUGGAAUUCCAUGUGUAGCGGUGAAAUGCGCAGAGAUAUGGAGGAACACCAGUGGCGAAGGCGACUUUCUGGUCUGUAACUGACGCUGAUGUGCGAAAGCGUGGGGAUCAAACAGGAUUAGAUACCCUGGUAGUCCACGCCGUAAACGAUGAGUGCUAAGUGUUAGGGGGUUUCCGCCCCUUAGUGCUGCAGCUAACGCAUUAAGCACUCCGCCUGAGGAGUACGACCGCAAGGUUG
rnacentral:rRNA from 1 species